GCAAACUUGGUCAUUUAGAGGAAGUAAAAGUCGUAACAAGGUUUCCGUAGGUGAACCUGCGGAAGGAUCAUUAAUGAAAUAAAUUUGGUCGAGUUGUUGCUGGUCUUUAGGGAUAAUUGUGCACACUCGACUUGAUUUAACUUUACCACCUGUGCAUCUUUUGUAGACUUGGAUAUUAACAAUCAAAUUAACUUUUGGAUUUGAGGAUUGCUAUUUUUUAUUGGCUUUCCUUUAAAUGUUCAAGUCUAUGUUUUAUUAUAUACACCUUGAUAUUUUAAAAAGGAAUAUUAAUAAAAGAUUUAAAAUACAACUUUCAACAACGGAUCUCUUGGCUCUCGCAUCGAUGAAGAACGCAGC
rnacentral:misc_RNA from 1 species